rnacentral:misc_RNA from 1 species
GAAAUGCGAUAAGUAAUGUGAAUUGCAGAAUUCAGUGAAUCAUCGAAUCUUUGAACGCACAUUGCGCCCGCCAGUAUUCUGGCGGGCAUGCCUGUUCGAGCGUCAUUUCAACCAUCAAGCCCCCGGCUUGUGUUGGGGACCUGCGGCUGCCCGCAGGCCCUGAAAAACAGUGGCGGGCUCGCUGUCACACCGAGCGUAGUAGCAUACAUUCUCGCUCAGGGCGUGCUACGGGUUCCGGCCGUUAAACGACCUUCAUAACCCAAGGUUGACCUCGGAUCAGGUAGGAAGACCAGCUGAACUUAAGC